rnacentral:rRNA from 1 species
UACGGAGGGUGCAAGCGUUAUCCGGAUUCACUGGGUUUAAAGGGUGCGUAGGUGGGUUGGUAAGUCAGUGGUGAAAUCCCCCGAGCUUAACUUGGGAACUGCCAUUGAUACUAUUAAUCUUGAAUACCGUGGAGGUUAGCGGAAUAUGUCAUGUAGCGGUGAAAAUGCUUAGAUAUGACAUAGAACACCAAUUGCGAAGGCAGCUGGCUACACGAAUAUUGACACUGAUGCACGAAAGCGUGGGGAUCAAACAGG